GUGUACUUCAAAUACCGGUCUGUGCGCUUUGCCAACUCCGGCAAACUCUGGUAUCUGCCGAUGAACUUUUGAUAUGCUGGCAACAGAAUUUUGGCAACUGAGAUUCUUGCUUCUUCUCUAAGCUGAUGCUCAAAUAUCACCCAUGUGGAUUGGGUUUGGCAGAUUUCUUCAAAUUGCAUAUUGAAUGAUUGGAGCUUCUCCUUCAUCACAGCCGGAG
rnacentral:misc_RNA from 1 species